AUUGAACGCUGGCGGCAGGCCUAACACAUGCAAGUCGAGCGGAUGAAGGGAGCUUGCUCCUGGAUUCAGCGGCGGACGGGUGAGUAAUGCCUAGGAAUCUGCCUGGUAGUGGGGGAUAACGUCCGGAAACGGGCGCUAAUACCGCAUCCGUCCUGAGGGAGAAAGUGGGGGAUCUUCGUACCUCACGCUAUCAGAUGAUCCUAGGUCGGAUUAGCUAGUCGGUGGGGUAAAGGCCUACCAAGGCGACGACCCGUAACUGGUCUGAGAGGAUGAUCAGUCACACUGGAACUGAGACACGGUCCAGACUCCUACGGGAGGCAGCAGUGGGGAAUAUUGGACAAUGGGCGAAAGCCUGAUCCAGCCAUGCCGCGUGUGUGAAGAAGGUCUUCGGAUUGUAAAGCACUUUAAGUUGGGAGGAAGGGCAGUAAGUUAAUACCUUGCUGUUUUGACGGUACCAGCAGAAUAAGCACCGGCUAACUUCGUG
rnacentral:rRNA from 1 species